GCUCCGUUGGUGAACCAGCGGAGGGAUCAUUACCGAGUUUACAACUCCCAAACCCCUAUGUGAACGUUACCAAACUGUUGCCUCGGCGGGAAAUUCAUGCCCCGGGCGCGUCGCAGCCCCGGACCAAGGCGCCCGCCGGAGGACCAACCAAAACUCUUUUGUAUGUCCCUCGCGGACUUUUAUAAUUCUGAACCAUCUCGGCGCCCCUAGCGGGCGUUUCGAAAAUGAAUCAAAACUUUCAACAACGGAUCUCUUGGUUCUC
rnacentral:misc_RNA from 1 species